rnacentral:tRNA from 1 species
GGGGUUGUAGCUCAGGGGAUAGAGCAGCCGCGUCCUAAGCGGCGUGUCGGGGGUUCGAUUCCCUCCAGCCCCACCA